UCCCUGGAGGACAAGUGGUUAGACCUCAGCACUCUCACAGACGCGGCCUGGGUCCGAUUCCCAGGCAGGGAA